rnacentral:lncRNA from 10 species
GACUUCCUGCUCAUCUGCCGCUCCCUUUGCCGCCGCCUUAGCCCGGGACCCGAACCCAGCCUCUCCCCUACCCGAACACCGGCCCCGGCUCCACCGAGGCCCGGGUCCCCCAGCCCGUCUCGCCGCCGCCAUGGCGGACCCUAAAUACGCCGACCUUCCCGGCAUUGCCAGGAAUGAGCCAGAUGUUUAUGAAACUAGCGACCUACCUGAGGAUGAUCAAGCGGAGUUCGAUGCGUAGAGACGGGGUUUCAUGUGUUAGCCAGGAUGGUCUCGAUCUCCUGACCUCGUGAUCCGCCUGUCUUGGCCUCCCAAAGUGCUGGGAUUACAGACGUGAGCCACCAUGCCCAGCCUCAGUCACCUUCUUAACCCCUGACAACAGCAUUCUCCGCCUUAAUCUUCAGUUUAUUUUCAACUUUAAUUUUAUCAGUUUUUAAAGUAGGUAAUGUAUGCACAGGGAACAGAGGAUUCAAGGGUAAGUAGUGAAAAAUCUGCCUCCCACCUCUGCCUACCACCACUCAGUUCUCUUCCCUAGAGACAACCAAUAUGGAUAGACUCUUGUGGAACCUUUCAGGGGGUCUCCAGAUUUCUUUUUGGUUUUUGAGACAGAGUCUCACUCUUUCCCCCAGGCUGGAGUGCAGUGGCACAAUCUUGUCUCACUGCAACCUUUGCCUCCCCGGUUCAAGCGAUUCUCCUGCCUCAGCCUCCCAAGUAGCUGGAAUUACAGGCAUGUGCCACCACACCUGGCUAAUUUUCUGUAUUUUUAGUAGAGAUGGGGUUUCACCAUGUUGGCCAGGUUGGUCUCGAACUCCUGGCCUCAAGUGAUCCAUCCAUCUUGGCCUCCCAAAGUGCUGGGAUUACAGGCGUGAGCUACCAUGCCAGCCGGGUCUCCAGAUUUCUGUCUAAAGGAAUAGUCAAGUUGUGUUGACCCUCACUGCUCCAUAACUUUCUUCCUGUGAUUCCUCCACUGUGGAAGAAAUUGGGCUACUAAAGGAAAAAUGUCCUCAAACAUCCCUUAAAGAUUUAAAUUGCUAAUUUAACUUAAACAUAAACAUUUUCCGAUUCCCAUAGUGGGGAGGAUGGGGGAGGAAAGCAUAAAAGAUUUAAAUUUUGCUACAGAUGAUCGUGAAUUUUUUUUUUUUUCAAGAUGGAGUUUCACUCUUUUUGCCCAGGCUGGAGUGCAAUGGCGUGAUCUCAGCUCACUGUAACCUCCACCUCCCGAGUUCAAGAGAUUCUCCUGCCUCAGCCUCCUGAGUAGCUGGAAUUACAGGUGUCCAUCACCACACCCGGCUAAUUUUUUGUAUUUCUAGUAGAGACAGGGUUUCACCAUGUUGGCUAGGCUGGUCUCAAACCCCUGACCUCAGGUGAUCCACUCACCUAGGCCUCCCAGAGUGCUGGGAUUACAAGCAUGAGCCACUGUGCCUGGCCAAUCCUGAUUUUUCUACUAUCCCUUUAAAACAAUUUUAGCAGGAAGUAAAAUCUUCUAAAACAGGAAUGGACCAGGAAAGUGCACGGGCUGUAGCCCUUUCCUCCUCAAUCUGGGAAGAUCUCUUUGCACUUCAGACACUCCCAGGUUAAUUGGGGCAAUAGGCUUGCUUGGAGAUUUUUCUUAAAAUGUUUGGAAAACUAAUUCCCAAAUAGAAUUCCACCCACACACACACCCCGACCCUAACCCCUGGGCCCACAGCCUGCCUUGGGUCAGUGAGGCUUUCUGCUCAUGGCUUUUGAACUGCUGGAAUAAGGGAAGUAAAUUAAGAAAAACCUCAUUAGAAACAAUUUAGCUUCUCUCUUUAUGGCAUAACUACCCGCAGUAAAAGGGGAAAAAAUGACCUAGCCAUAGUUUGAUGGGGCCCUGGCAGAGGCUUCAUUUCUCCAAAAGGUAGAUAUUACUGGACACUCCUGAGAUGAGAAACAGUACUUCCUUACAGUUUAGAAGAUCCUGGAGUAUGCUUGAUUGUGUUCAUUGACUGUUGGCGCACUUGAACUUACCUGAGUUUUUCCUAAUGCUUCCCCCAUCCUCCCUCCUCACCACCUUGCCUGGACACUAGUUUGCACAAGUAAGACCAUUCAAUGCUUCUUCUCUGCAUGUUUUUUUCAUCUGCCAUCUCGCAUGCAAUGCUCUGCCACUGUGCUAUUGUUGUAGCUAAUCGUUUUAAAUUCCAGUGAGUCCCUGGCUGGGUCACUGAGGGGCCUGCUGGCCUUAUGUUUAAAGAUCAUUAAUCAAGGGUUAGAAACAGCUAUGAUCCAUGAAUCAUUGUCUCUUCCCCUUGUGAGGUCUGCAGAGUAAAACUGUCCAGUGGAGGAUGGGAUAGAAGCAUGGAGGCUUUAAAUGUUUUUGAACAUGAGGCAUUUAGGGGCUGGAGUUAGAAGGCAGUUUCCUUUCUCCUCCUCAGACUAAGAUCAAAUGAAGAUUUUUUUAUGGAAUGACUUUUAGCUAUUCUAGACAAGGAUAGAAAACAAAAGGGAUGACAGCCACAGUCCUCAGUUCUUGGCUGUAUGUGGAUUAUCUCUGGGAAAAACUCAUUUUAAUAUUCCCCUAUGCUAGGUCUUUAGAGAAAUGUAAAUGGGAUGAGAAGGAGGUUUAUAUGCAAUUGUAAGAUAACUUGGAUUAUUUGUGCUUUUGUGAGUCUUUCUGUUUCUGCACCCCUCCUUUUGAAAUGGAUGGAUGGUCAGCAAUAUAUUGAUCCAUCCCGGACAGUUUUACUCUACAGCUCUGUCCAUCUUCCUUGUCAUCAUGGUUUUGAAGUACCCUGGCUGCAGUGUUGGCGUACAGCCUGAAUAGGCUCAGAGAGUAACAGUGGCCACUUUCCCUGUCUGAUUUAGAACCUCAGAUCUUGCCCUCUGAGGCACAGCCACUUAGCCAAACAGCCCUGGGGGGUCUGGGAGUCCCUUAGUGAAAGAGACUGGGAGUCACGUACUAGGUAAGCUGGCACCCGGGGCCAGGGCACUUGAAAUCUUCCAAUCAAGGUGACUAGUACUACUCCAGGUUAUGCAGGAAUCAUGCCUAAAAUCUCAUCAACCUUCAACCCACCCAUAGGACAGACCUGGAGGUGGUAUAUACUAUCUGCAAACUAAUAUACCACUUUUCCUUUUAUUUGAUUUUCUGUCCUCCCUAUUCUGCCCAAUCCGCAUGGUUUGAAAUUGAGCUUAUGGCCCAUUGUCUUCUUUCUCUCCUUGAGUUUCUCCCAAGCUGGUUUUAGCUUGGUGGGACAAAUCAGAGAAAGGUAUAGUGUGUGUACUUCUCCUUUGUGUUUGCAUGUUUGCACUUAUGGGUGCUUACACCCACUCUAUGCAGAGACAUCCCAGCCUCGACCACAGGAUCUGGAGCCACCUCUACCCUGAGCUGAAAGAGGAAUUUUUUUUUUUUUUUUGAGACAGUCUCACUCUGUCACCCAGGCUGGAGUGCAGUGGCAUGAUCUCAGCUCACUGCAACCUCCGCCUGCCGGGUUCAACUGCAACCUCCACCUCCCGGGUUCAAAUGAUUCUCCUGCCUCAGCCUCCCGAGUAGCUGGGAUUACAGGCGUCCACCACCAUGCCUGGCUAAUUUUGUAUUUUUAGUAGAGAUGGGGUUUCACCAUGGUGGCCAGGCUGGUCUCGAACUCCUGACCUCAAGUGAUCCACCCACCUCGCCCUCCCAAAGUGCUGGGAUUACAGAUGUGAGACACCGUGCCUGGUGGAAAGAGGAAUCUUGGCUGGGACCCUAGCAUCGUCUAGGGAACAGAGAGGUUGUGAUUAAGAGGUAUCUGGAUGAAAUCUUGGUGAAAGGAAGCACUUGUUUUUAAUCCCACCAUGGUUUUUCAUAUGCAUACAACCAUCCUCAACCAUCUGCCCAUCAGCAGAGCUCCUAGAAAGGCAGGACAUACCACUGGAUAUCCCCUUCUGGCAGUUCUAAACCAGCCUUGCCCGGAAGUGGGAGCCUUAUCUAUGUGGCCCAGACUCAAAUAAGGCCUCUUGGAAAUACUCUCACCCUUCCCCUUUGUUUACCCUCCAACCCCUGUGAAUCUUGUGAACAGAGGGUUGAAGAAACAUGUUCUGCACAUGUGCUAGUACCUGUGAAUCUUGAUGUCCCCUGGACCCUCUGUGUAAGUACAUCAUGGCAGAAUUGCUCUAGAUCCUUCGGAGCUGCAGGGUGAGUUACCAGCCACUCAAGGUGGAGGCAAACAUGCCAGGCUGCACAAGGGACCAGGAGCAGCUCUGCCUCUUCCCUUGCAGGAGGAAAUGAGAACGGGGCUAUACUUAGGUACUUCAUCAUUCCUUUAACUCACCAUCUGUACCUGACAUAUUUUGUUUUGUCUCACCUAAAGUCAUAUCAGACUUCCUACCUGAUCACUCUCAUUGUGACUGAUUCUGCCAUCCAAAUGUCUAAUUUUUCACAGCUAGAGAAACUAAGAGAUAGGAAGACAAGGGCCAUGAACUAAGAAGGGGAACUCCUCUCCUGAGAAUUAUUGACCCUCUAUCAGCUACAAGUCUAAGAAUUUCUAACUUCUGCUUCAUCUUCUACCAUUUCUAAUAGCUUCCCCACCACCUCAGCCUUCUCUCCCCAGUUUCUUAUUCCAUGCCACUGGCUGGUAACAUCUAACUCCUAGUUUUCAGAUGAUCCUAAACUGCUGCUGUUAAUGGCAAAGCUUCAUGACAUCCUCACCACCAGAGGGAAAAGGGUCUCAUGCUCUUCUUUCUCUUGGGGUAUAUGGUGACCCCAGCUGAAAUUUCUUGGCCCCUAAAUUUCGCUAGGCUCCCCUGGGGCCCUGUGGUGCAGUGUGUUGGAAGACUGUCAUGUAGUGCAUGUGACAAUUUGCUAAUAACAAUUUUGUCUUUUUUUUCCCUCCCUCAUCCCCAUUCCCCCACUCCCUUUCCUUUUAACUCUUUUGAUUUUCUCACCUCUGGGGAAACCACAAGGAGCUGGUAAGAAGCCUGACCUUUCAUCUGCUUUUUAACGGGGUGUGCUAUGAUGAGCAGUUGUUUCUCUGUCCUUUAGACUCUACUAAAUCUUUCAUUCAUCUAUUCAGUCCCACACCCAGCCUUUUCCUAUCUCACAAGUCACUGUAAUUAUACUGCCCCCAACUCAUGCCCCAGAUCUUCAAGACACUGCUGGAGUAGGUGCUACUGGAGGACUAGAGUGUGCUCCCGGGCCACAGCCUUGGAGAGGCUCCAGAGGAUGCCAGCGCCAGGAGGAGCUGACAAGCACAAGUGUGGAACACAUCAUUGUCAAUCCUAAUGCUGCCUAUGACAAGUUCAAGGACAAGAGAGUGGGGACAAAGGGACUUGAUUUCUCAGAUCGUAUUGGAAAAACCAAGAGGACAGGAUAUGAAUCUGGAGAAUAUGAGAUG